CGACGCCGCGUGCGGGAUGAAGGCUUCGGGUUGUAAACCGCUUUCAGUAGGGAAGAAGCGAAAGUGACGGUACCUACAAAAGAAGCACCGGCUAACUAUGUGCCAGCAGCCGCGGUAAUACAUAGGGUGCAAGCGUUGUCCGGAAUUACUGGGCGUAAAGCGUGCGCAGGCGGUUUCUUAAGUCAGAUGUGAAAGCCCCGGGCUUAACCUGGGAACUGCGUUUGAAACUGGGAGACUUGAGUGUGGCAGAGGGGGGUGGAAUUCCACGUGUAGCAGUGAAAUGCGUAGAUAUGUGGAGGAACACCGAUGGCGAAGGCAGCCCCCUGGGCUAACACUGACGCUCAUGCACGAAAGCGUGGGGAGCAAACAGGAUUAGAUACCCUGGUAGUCCACGCCCUAAACUAUGUCAACUGGUUGUCGGGGGAUUAACUCCCUUGGUAACGAAGCUAACGCGUGAAGUUGACCGCCUGGGGAGUACGGACGCAAGGUUAAAACUCAAAGGAAUUGACGGGGACCCGCACAAGCGGUGGAUUAUGUGGAUUAAUUCGAUGCAACGCGAAAAACCUUACCUACCCUUGACAUGUACGGAAUCCUUCACAGAUGGAGGGGUGCCCGAAAGGGAACCGUAACACAGGUGCUGCAUGGCUGUCGUCAGCUCGUGUCGCGAGAUGUUGGGCUAAGUCCCCGCAGGAAGCGCAACCUUGUCAUUAGUUGCUACAUUAGUCGGGCACUCUAAUGAGACUGCCGUGACAAACGGAG
rnacentral:rRNA from 1 species